AUACAGUAUUAUAUAAAAUUGAAGAGAUUGGUGUCACGCGAAACAACGGUAAGUGUAAAAAAAAAUUCUUGUUCCCGCUUUCAACCAUCUGUAUUUUAUCUAACGUUUACUCUGUUUUCUAGGCUAAUUCGGGAAAAGAAAAAGAGUGCGGAAAAAAAGGAAAUAUUAAUAAAGUGAUAUUACAAAAAAAAGGACGCACUGCACCAGGCCCCGUCAGCCUACAACCUAGUGUCACCCGAGCUACGCAACAAGGACGCACAGCGCUAUCCGGUAGGAUUAUCAACUAUAUAUAUAUGUAU